GUAGGGAAUCUUCCUCAAUGGGCGCAAGCCUGAUGGAGCAACACCGCGUGAGUGAAGAAGGGUUUCGGCUCGUAAAGCUCUGUUGUUAAAGAAGAACACGUAUGAGAGUAACUGUUCAUACGUUGACGGUAUUUAACCAGAAAGUCACGGCUAACUACGUGCCAGCAGCCGCGGUAAUACGUAGGUGGCAAGCGUUAUCCGGAUUUAUUGGGCGUAAAGAGAGUGCAGGCGGUUUUCUAAGUCUGAUGUGAAAGCCUUCGGCUUAACCGGAGAAGUGCAUCGGAAACUGGAUAACUUGAGUGCAGAAGAGGGUAGUGGAACUCCAUGUGUAGCGGUGGAAUGCGUAGAUAUAUGGAAGAACACCAGUGGCGAAGGCGGCUACCUGGUCUGCAACUGACGCUGAGACUCGAAAGCAUGGGUAGCGAACAGGAUUAGAAACCCGAGUAGUCC
rnacentral:rRNA from 1 species